GGGUCAGUAGGUUGGUCGUGCCACAGGUACGUACUGGUCACAAUGAUUCCUCCUUCCUGAAGAACCGUAAUGCCAUUAAUUUGGUGUUGCGGGGAAACAGGACUGUUACUUUGAAAAAAUUAGAGUGUUUAAAGCAAGCUAACGCUUGAAUACAUUAGCAUGGAAUAAUGAAAUAGGACGAUCGAUCCUAUUUUGUUGGUUUCUAGGAUUGACGUA
rnacentral:rRNA from 1 species